AAAUCGUUAAUAAAAUCUUUUUAAAAACUAAAAAAAAAACCUAAAAUUCUAAAAAAAUCUUCAAAAUUAUUUUAAAAAACCUAAAACAACUGCACAUAAUAAAAAUAAUCUCUAGAACCCUAAAAGGACACUAAAAACCCCUAAAACACUAAAAAAAAAUCCUAUAAUGCUAAAAAAAACUUCUAAAACCCUAAUAAAAUUAUUUAAAAAAUAACCUAAAACCCCCAAAAAACCCCCAAAAAUAAAAAAAUAAAUAAAAUCCUUAAAAAUACCUUAAAGAACCCUAAAACACUAAAAUACCCAAAAAUCCUUAAAAAAAAAAACUCUGAAACACUAAAAAAACCCUAUAAUUCUGAAAAACUCAAGAACACGAAAAAGACCCCCAAAAGUCCCUAAAACCAUAAAAAAACAAAACUCUU
rnacentral:lncRNA from 1 species